rnacentral:rRNA from 1 species
CAUGCUAGUUGUGCGACUUAGAUCGCAGCGGAAGCUCAGUAACACGUGGCCAAACUACCCUGUAGACAGGAAUACUCUCGGGAAACUGAGGCUAAUACCUGAUACGGUAUUCAUGCUGGAGUGCAGAAUACCUCAAACGCUCAGGCGCUACAGGAUGUGGCUGCGGCCGAUUAGGUAGACGGUGGGGUAACGGCCCACCGUGCCGAUAAUCGGUACGGGUUGUGAGAGCAAGAGCCCGGAGACGGAAUCUGAGACAAGAUUCCGGGCCCUACGGGGCGCAGCAGGCGCGAAACCUUUACACUGCACGCCAGUGCGAUAAGGGGACCCCAAGUGUGAGGGCAUAUAGCCCUCACUUUUGUGUACCGUAGGGAGGUACACGAAUAAGAGCUGGGCAAGACCGGUGCCAGCCGCCGCGGUAAUACCGGCAGCUCGAGUGAUGACCGAUUUUAUUGGGCCUAAAGCGUCCGUAGCUGGCCGUGUAGGUUCGUCGGGAAAUCCACCUGCUCAACAGGUGGGCGUCCGGCGAAAACCACAUGGCUUGGGACCGGAAGGCUCGAGGGGUACGUCCGGGGUAGGAGUGAAAUCCCGUAAUCCUGGACGGACCGCCGAUGGCGAAAGCACCUCGAGAAGACGGAUCCGACAGUGAGGGACGAAAGCUGGGGUCUCGAACCGGAUUAGAUACCCGGGUAGUCCCAGCCGUAAACAAUGCCAAUUAGGUGUGGCACCGACUACGAGUCGGUGCUGUGCCGUAGGGAAGCCGAUAAAUUGGCCGCCUGGGAAGUACGUCCGCAAGGAUGAAGCUUAAAGGAAUUGGCGGGGGAGCACUACAACCGGAGGAGCCUGCGGUUUAAUUGGAUUCAACGCCGGGAAUCACUAGAUGAAUUCGC